UACGAGGGGGGCAAGCGUUGUUCGGAAUUAUUGGGCGUAAAGGGUGCGUAGGCGGUCUGACAAGUCUGGUGUGAAAUCUAUGGGCUCAACCCAUAGUCUGCAUCGGAAACUGUCGGGCUUGAGUAUGGGAGAGGUGAGUGGAAUUUCCGGUGUAGCGGUGAAAUGCGUAGAUAUCGGAAGGAACACCUGUGGCGAAAGCGGCUCACUGGACCAUUACUGACGCUGAGGCACGAAAGCUAGGGGAGCAAACAGG
rnacentral:rRNA from 1 species